rnacentral:rRNA from 1 species
CAGUACACUGACUGUGCUAAGGUAGCAUAAUCAUUUGUCUUUUAAUUGAAGACUAGUAUGAAAGGCAUCAUGAAGAUAAGCUGUCUUAUGAAAAUUUAUUAUAAUUUUCUAAGGGGGUGAAAAUUCCUCCAUGCAGAUAAAUAAGACGAGAAGACCCUUAGAAUUAUAAUUAAACUUAUUACAAGUAAAUUUUUGUUGGGGCAACAUUAUCAAAUUUUAAACUGAUGAAGCUAAAUAUUACAGAGAGACUAUUUUAAAGAAGAAUUUAAUUACCUAAGGGAUAACAGCAUAAUUCUUAAUUGAGAGUAUGACCUCGAUGUUGGACUAGGGACUUUUUUCACU